rnacentral:rRNA from 1 species
AGACCCGAAACCCGGUGAUCUAGCCAUGGGCAGGUUGAAGGUUGGGUAACACUAACUGGAGGACCGAACCGACUAAUGUUGAAAAAUUAGCGGAUGACCUGUGGCUGGGGGUGAAAGGCCAAUCAAACCGGGAGAUAGCUGGUUCUCCCCGAAAGCUAUUUAGGUAGCGCCUCGUGAAUUCAUCUCCGGGGGUAGAGCACUGUUUCGGCCAGGGGGCCAUCCCGGCUUACCAAUCCGAUGCAAACUGCGAAUACCGGAGAAUGUUAUCACGGGAGACACACGGCGGGUGCUAACGUCCGUCGUGAAGAGGGAAACAACCCAGACCGCCAGCUAAGGUCCCAAAGUCAUGGUUAAGUGGGAAACGAUGUGGGAAGGCCCAGACAGCCAGGAUGUUGGCUUAGAAGCAGCCAUCAUUUAAAGAAAGCGUAAUAGCUCACUGGUCGAGUCGGCCUGCGCGGAAGAUGUAACGGGGCUAAACCAUGCACCGAAGCUGCGGCAGCGAACGUAUCACCCAAGACAACUUUGCACAGUUGACGAUUGACGGAGCGAAGCGACGUCAAAGCGUUUUACAACGUCGAGUUGGCUUAGGGAUACGUUCGUUGGGUAGGGGAGCGUUCUGUAAGCCGUUGAAGGUGUGUCGUGAGGCAUGCUGGAGGUAUCAGAAGUGCGAAUGCUGACAUAAGUAACGAUAAAGCGGGUGAAAAGCCCGCUCGCCGGAAGACCAAGGGUUCCUGUCCAACGUUAAUCGGGGCAGGGUGAGUCGACCCCUAAGGCGAGGCCGAAAGGCGUAGUCGAUGGGAAACGGGUUAAUAUUCCCGUACUUGGUGUUACUGCGAAGGGGGGACGGAGAAGGCUAUGUUGGCCGGGCGACGGUUGUCCCGGUUUAAGCGUGUAGGCUGACUUUCCAGGCAAAUCCGGAGAGUCAAGGCUGAGGCGUGACGACGAGGCACCACGGUGCUGAAGCAACAAAU